GUGAUUGCCAUCUUGGCUUAAAACUAUAUCCACAUACACCUGUGCACUGUUCGAUUGACUCUCACGAGUCAGUUUUUACAAACAUUGUGUAAUGAACGUCUAGUUAUUAUAACAAAAA
rnacentral:misc_RNA from 1 species